AUAAAUCUCUUCUUAGGACUCACUUUCAUCGUAUGGCUUUUUCUUAAUCUGAUGGUAUUUGUUGCAACUAUUUAAAUUAUUUUAUCAUGUUUAUAUCUUACGUUCUGGCUCUUAUUUGCUUUUUUAUUAUUAUUGUAAAGCACUUUGUAACUUUGUUUUGAAAGGUGCUAUAUAAAUAAAGUUAUUAUUAUUAUCAUUAUAGUGAAUACAAUUACCUUUCCAUGUAAACAAAAGGAAAUGGGAACAUCAUUAGUGCAGACUGCAGCAUUUUAGUGUUGUUGUUUAAAUUGUUCAAGGAUGUUGUUCAACAGAAAACUGAAUGAAGAAAUGUAUUUUUAUCACCUUGCCUUUUGUGGAGGAGAUAUGUGUGUGUGUGUGUGUGUGUGUGUGUGUGUGUGUGUGUGUGUGUGUGUAUACAUUAGGGAGGGGGUAAAUGCAACUGGCACAGGCACCAUGGCAACCACGGCAUCCCCUCCCUGCUGCAUGUGUGAGUGCCAGCAGGAGGAGUGCUCACGUGUUGCUGCUGAGAGCUCUCAUUAUUCACCCCCACUGACUCCACACACUGAAUAUCACACACUGGAGCUGGAGGACAGGUGGUGCUGUAGGUGUGUGUGUGUGUUUACUGUUGUAACUGCCCAAGCAGUCAGCAGCCUGGGUGCAUGUGUUUUUAGUGAAUGGUGUUGGAGCCACGUGCUGGUGAUGAGGGACACUGUGCACUUGGCAGAGAUGGAGGAUAGGACGCAGAGAGUUUCAGUUAUACAACUGUUUCUGCUAUUUGAUAUUAAUGGCAGAAAAGGAGUAAUCAGUGGAUAAAUACAGUAUAGAGCAAACUACCAUGAGAGGGGUCCAAUCACAAUCCUCAAAUUUAAUUAAUUAAGAAAUGAGACACUUUGUGAAGACAAGAAUAAGACAUCUUUGUGAAUGUGACAUAAAAAUACAAAUUAGGCUUUCAGACAUACAAACAUUGCUCAGAGCUGCAGUGGUGGUGCAAAUCAUCUUAUUUAUUGAGUUAAACCUCAGUGAGGAGAGCCACAGUUUAUCAGAGAGCAGGUUAACAUUAUAAUUAACAUUAUAAAAUUAUACAAAGUAACUAUGUUUAUGUAAUGUAUAUAAUAUUUAAAGUGAUGAUUUUUGACAUUUUCAUAUCGACAUUAGUUUUGCUCCUCUCCAUCUCUGCUUGCUCUAACACAUCACAGUCCACAGUUUGAUUGACAGGUGGUCCCUGACAAGUACAAUGCACCACAGUAGAGAUGCAGACUAAAUCAAAAUAAAAUCCAUUUACAUAUCCGAUCUUUUAUUGCCUUGCUCCCCGAGAUCCUCAGAUACUUUUAUUUUAUCAGUGAAAAAUUUAGAUUAAUUUGCCUGAGGGGAUCAAGGCAGCAACCUCUGAUGUUUAUUCAUCUAAUUAAAUUGCAUUAUUUUAGCUUACAUGCAGUUUCUUUCUCAUAGUGUGUUCAGUGUGGUUUUGAUCUGUCAUGUUUGGAUCAUUAGCAACAUGCUACCACAACAAGACUAUUCUUACGUUCCUCUUCCUUGUAUUCUUUUUCAUUCCAGUUAUCCAUUAAGCUUCAAGACCUGUUUAUCCUGUUCUGGGUUGUGGGGAUCGACAGUCUAUGCCAGCAUGCAUGAGCACAUAGGACAAUGAAGCACUGAAAACCCUGGGAUACAUAUUAAGGAAACUAUUGAGACUCACCCUAUUCUUGGAAGUGACUGCAGGAUAACUGCAAGCCAUCUGACCAUGAGCCAGCAGAGCAACCCUAUCAACUUGUAUAACACUCUGUUCUUCCCCCCUCCCUCCCCUUUUUACUUCAAAACAACCAACAAAAUCAAUAAAGCAGCAGAUAAUCAUGA